ensembl:lncRNA
GGUUGAUGACACUACACCAUCAACCAUCAUGACAAAUUGGUUGAUGACACUACACCAUCAACCAUCAUGACAAAUUGGUUGAUGACACUACACCAUCAUGACAAAUUGGUUGAUGACACUACACCAUCAACCAUCAUGACAAAUUGGUUGAUGACACUACACCAUCAUGACAAAUUGGUUGAUGACACUACACCAUCAACCAUCAUGACAAAUUGGUUGAUGACACUACACCAUCAACAUAGGCUGAUGACACUAUACCAUCAACAUUGUCUGAUGACACUACACCAUCAACAUAGGCUGAUGACACUACACCAUCAACAUUGUCUGAUGACACUACACCAUCAACAUAGGCUGAUGACACUACACCAUCAACAUAGGCUGAUGACACUACACCAUCAACAUAGGCUGAUGACACUACACCAUCAACAUAGGCUGAUGACACUACACCAUCAACAUAGGCUGAUGACACUACACCAUCAACAUAGGCUGAUGACACUACACCAUCAACAUAGGCUGAUGACACUACAGCAUCAACAUAGGCUGAUGACACUAGCUCAAAUGUUAUGCCUUUUUUUUGUUCACUUGUUCUCAUCAAUUUUGUUUCUGCAACCUUAUUUAACUUUUCUGUAUCACUUUGUUUACCAAAAUGAGCACUUGUUUUGGAAGUGACCCUAAAUGAAGGAUGCUUUCCUUGGGAGGGCAUGGGUUGACUAUAUUUUAUAUGCAACUUUUGUAAAAGUCUACAUUUUAUACCUGAUUUGUAAUUAUGUAAAUGAAGGCUCCAGAUGAUCAAAUCAGAUAAUGUAUGCUUCUGAUUGGAGAGCAACGUCAGGAUAAAGCACAAGUGGACUUUAAUUGUGAACUUAACAUAUAUAUUGUAUCUGCUUAUUACCAUACUGGAAUUUAUUUCAAUUGCAAAUUAAACACAGCUUUUCUCACAA